CUUUCUGGAACUAGACUGCUAAGCAUUCCACCUUUACUUUAUUGGGCUGGUCACAUUAUUCAAAUGCCAAAUGUAUACUUGCUAAAAAAUAAUAUUUUAUGGAGAACUCACACAGGCAAGUGCUCACAAAAUGGUCAGAAAAAGUGAUACAAGGACAUCCUGAAGGUCUCUCUUAAGAACUUUAGAUUUGUUUGCAUGACAUUGGAGAUACUGGCACAGAAUCGCCCAGCAUGGUGUGCACUCAUCAGAGAAGGGGCUUUGUUCUAUGAGCAAAGCAGAAUUGAAUUAGGCCAGAAGAAACUCAAGCAAAAUUAAAGAAACCCUCAAAUGUUCAAAGGGACUAUUCUUGUCCCACCUGUGGCAGAGCAUUCUGAGCUCAUACUGAUCUAAUCAACCACAGUCAGACACACUGGAACUUGACUCUAACAUAGUGAUAUCAUUUUGGUCUUCUUUGAGAUAGAAGGAUAACAACAACAACAAUAUUUACAUAGCAUUUAAUUUCCUUUUAUUGCCUUUUUCAUUUACAUUAUUGUUGAUAUGAACUUUUUUUUAUUUUGUUGAUUUUAUUUUGCAUCAGUUAAUAUAAAUUUCUGACUUAUCUUUUCCUUCGGAGGUUCUCUCUCAUAAAAUUUUGGUCAGUUUUGAAACUUUAUUUUUCUUCUACUCUGAAUAGGCAGGUAAGUGGCAGAAUGGAUAGAGUGCUUUGUGACUUCAAAUCUGGUGUCAGAAAUUCACUAGCUCUGUGACCCUGGGCAAGUCAUUUAACCAUGUUUGCCUCACUUCCUCAUUUAUAGAAUGAACUGGAGAAGGAAAUGGGAAACCACUCCAGUAUCUCUUUCAAGAAAACAUUAAAAGAGAACACAAAAGAGAUCUGACAAAACUGAAAACAACCAAACAACAAAAUCUGGAGUGUGAAUUAAUACUGUGAAUUUUAACCUUUCAAGUUCUAAAAUGUUACAUGUAUGUGAGCUGAUGAACCACAAUGACCCUAAGCCUUUAACCCUAAGCCUCAGUCUUUCUCAAACUAUCUUAUUUAGAUCCAUUCAUCUGAGGGACAGCUCCUUAUAUAAUACUACUAAACAACAUUUUCUCCCCCACACACAUUAAGGGGAAAAGUGUAUCUUUAAAACACAUGGAUUUUUAUGUUUUUCUGUGCACAAAAAUCCUUUUCUCCCUACCCCUUUCUUUGCCAACCAGGUCAUACAAUAAAGGGGCAAUACUUUAUACCUUUGAUAAGUUAGAUUUAAUCUUUUUGUGCACACUACAGUCCCUUUCAACAGCCAGACCAAUAACAUGUGAAACACGACAUCAAUUUUUUCUUUCUUUCUUUUUUUUUUUGCUGAGACAAUUGGAGUUAAGUGACUUGCCCAGGGUCACACAGCUAAGGAAGUAUUAAGUGUCUGAGACCAGAUUUGAACUCAGAUCCUCCUGACUUCAGGAUUAGUACUUUAUCCACUAUGUCACCUAGCUGCCCCCAUGACAUCAAUUUUUUGAUGACUUAAAAAAAUUAUUUUACUUUUUUCUCCAGUUAACAGGACAAGACAAUUUUAAGCAUUCAUUUUACAUUCAUACAUUUUUACGUUUAAUUCAUUUUUGAAUUCCAAAAUUUUCUUUCUUCUCCUCUCCUCUCUACCAGAGGGUAGGUAUUUGAUACAGUUUAUACAUCUGCUAUCAUGUAAACUAUAUUUGCAUAUUAAUCAAUUGUGAAAGAAGAAAUAGAUCAAAAGGAAAAGGAAAAAAAAAACCACAAGAAAGAACAAAGUUAAGUGAAAAAAUGUUUCAAUCUGUAUUCCAAGUCCAUCAAUUCUUUAUCUGGUCAUUGAUAGCAUUUUCCUUCACUGAGUUGCUGAGAAGAGCAGUCAUUCAUAGUUGAUCAUCACACAGUGACCAUUUGACUUUUCAUCAGUAUGUAUAAGCCUUUCCAGGUUUUUCUGAAAUCUUCAUGUUUUUCACUUCUUAUUGCAUAAUAGUAUUCCAUUAAAUUGAUGUAUCAUAGCUUGUUCAGUCAUUCCCCAACUGAUGGGCAUCCCCUCAAUUUCCAGUAUUUUACCAUAGAAAGGGCUGCUAUAAAUAUUUUUUUACACAUGUAGGCCCUUUUCCUUUUAUAAUGAUCUUUUGGGGAUACAGACCUAGCAGUGGUAUAUGCUGAAUCAAAGGUUAUACAGAGUUUGGUUUUCCUUUCGACAUAGUUCCAAAUUGUUCUCCAGAGUGGUUGGGUUAGUUCACAAUACCAUCAACAGAACAUUAGUGUUCCAUUUUCCCCACAUCCUCUUAAGCAUUUAUCAUUUUCUUUUCCUAUCUUCUUAGCCAAUCUGAAAGGUAUGAGAUGGUAUGUCAGAGUUGUUUUAGUUUGUAUUUCUCUAAUCACAAAUGACUAAACAAAUAUCUUGUAUUUCUUCAUUUGAAAACUGCUUGAUCAUAUCCUUCCACCUAUCACAUAAAUUUGACUUGCUUCUCUAUACAUUUGAGAAAUGAAGCUUUUAUCAGAGACACAUGCUGUUAACAAUUCUUUCUCAUCUUUCUACUUUCCUUCUCAUCUUGGUUGCAUUAGUUUUAUUUGUGCCUAAAGCUUUUAAUUUAGUAUAAUCAGAAUUUUUUAUUUUGCAUUUUUAUCUCUUCUUUGGUCAGGAAUUUCCCCUUUCCCACAGAUUAUUAUUCUUUACUCUUCUAAUUUGCUUAUGACGUCACCCUUUAUGUCUAAAUUAUGCACACCUUAUCCUGGUAUCAGGUGUGAAAAGUUGAUCUUGUGUCCUAUUGUUUUCCAAUUUUCUCAGCAGUCUUUGUCAAAUAGUAUGAGUCUUAUUCUAAAGGUU
ensembl:lncRNA